rnacentral:tRNA from 1 species
GCGGGCGUAGCUCAGGGGUAGAGCACAACCUUGCCAAGGUUGAAGUCGCGCGUUCAAAUCGCGUCGCCCGCCCCA